UUCAUGUGGUCCAGUUGCUGAUGGCCCACUUCACACAGACCACAGAUGGGUUCAUCCUUCUUGCAGAUUCGUCUGCCACAGUGGCUGAUGUUGAGAGGACCCUCAUGCUACCACCAACUCCUCGUCUAAUACUGCUCAGUGGAACAGAGCAUAUGACUGCAGGACACUGGAUGAUCAGCCUUGAGGGCGAGGUCCUAUGUGAGGGCAUCCAGCC